rnacentral:rRNA from 1 species
GAUGAACGCUGGCGGCGUGCCUAAUACAUGCAAGUCGAGCGAACGGACGAGAAGCUUGCUUCUUGGAUGUUAGCGGCGGACGGGUGAGUAACACGUGGAUAACCUACUUAUAAUACUGGGAUAACCUCGGGAAACCGGAGCUAAUACCGGAUGAUAUCUUGAACCGCGUGGUUCAAUAGUUAAAGACGGUCUUGCUGUCACUUAUAGAUGGAUCCGCGCUGCAUUAGCUGGUUGGUAAGGUAACGGCUUACCACGGCAACGAUGCAUAGCCGACGUGAGAGGGUGGUCGGCCACACUGGACCGGAGACACGGACCUGACGACUACGGGAGGGAGCAGUAGGGAAUGUUCCGCAGUGGGCGAGAGCCUGACGGAGCAAGGGCAAGUGAGUGAUGACGGUCUUCGGUUCGUGAAACUCUGCUAUGGGUGAAGAACAUAUUUGUACGUAGCUGUGCCCAGCUUGACGGUACCUAGUCAAAAAGCAACGGCUAACUACGUG